rnacentral:rRNA from 1 species
UACAGAGGUCUCAAGCGUUGUUCGGAUUCAUUGGGCGUAAAGGGUGCGUAGGUGGCGCGCUAAGUCAGGUGUGAAAUUUCGGAGCUUAACUCCGAACCUGCAUUUGAUACUGGCGUGCUUGAGGACUGGAGAGGAGAGUGGAAUUCACGGUGUAGCAGUGAAAUGCGUAGAUAUCGGGAGGAAGACCAGUGGCGAAGGCGGGUCUCUGGACAGUUCCUGACACUGAGGCACGAAGGCCAGGGGAGCAAACGGG